rnacentral:lncRNA from 1 species
CGGCGGGUGGCGGUGGCUGCUGGCGCGGCGUGUGAGUGUGUGUGCGGGGUUUGCGGGCGGGUGUGGUUGGGCAGGUCAAGUGAACCGUGAUUUGCCGAGAGCCAGAUCAAGGCGGCUCUCGGCAAACGUUUUGUCUUUGCCGAGAGCCAGGGCUCAGCUCUCGGCAAAGAGGUGAAUUUGCCGAGAGCUAGGGCAAGGGCUCUCGGCAAACUUCCUUUUUUUUGUUUUUGUCUACCAAACUUUUUCUCUGACCUUCUUACACUUAGUGUGACAACAUGUCAAAGUAUGGAUUAGUUUGUACACAUUUUGCUAUAUUUCUUGCUUUUUUUUUGUUUAAGUGAGUUUGUUGAAAAAUAUUGGUAAGAACUUCAAGUGCAUGAAAUCACGCGUUUCUAUGCACGAAAUAUCGAUAUUCAUGGUACUUACGCUAAUUCAAGGCCGUGUGCACGAAGACACCCUAGCUCUCGCACGUUUCAUUCCCGAACCAUGACUUUUGAGACGGUGCGGAAUAUGUUUUAAAUUAUAGAAAAUCCAAACGAGUUCAAAAAAUCACAAAACUUUAUGAGGUGUCAUCACAUGUCAUGUGUAGCUUGUGGUAAAAUUUUAAGAAAGUUUCGUGCAAGGCAUCACAUCGGACCCUCAGAAACCUGAACAUCUCCACAUGUGAUGCCGUGAUUUUAAAUUUUCGUACUCCUAGGAGUAAUUAUUCUCAUCUUCAAUAAACCACAUUACGUAUGUAUUCAUACUUGUUUAUCAGUUUGAAUAUGUUCAUACACUUGUAUUAAGAUACUCUAGAUCUUACCAUGCGAAAAUUUUUCGAAGGAAUUCAUAUUACCUUACAUGUAUAUAGGGCUGAGCUAUUGGGAGCUCGGUGCUAUAAAUAGGUAUUGGAAACCCUAGCCACCCACCCCAUCCAACCCUCACGAAGCUGACACGCGCAGGUGAGAACAUCUGGAGACUCAAACGCCACCCACCCCACCAGCCCCCACGAAGCUGACGCACGUAGGUGGGAGAUCUGGAGACUCGGAAAGGUCUUUUUCGAGACAAUGCAAAAAAAUCUAGUAGUUGCAUGAAUUAAAAUCAAUUUGUUACCGUAUAAAAGCUCUCCAUAAUCUAGACAUUACACCUGACAGUAGACACAUGCAUGUAUACAUGCCUCUACUCUAAUCUCUUCCUUUUUUCAUAACAAUUUCUCAAAUGAAAUAUCCGAUUCAAAAACGGUUUCCACCAAUG